AUGUCUUUCUCCACGGCUUGGGGUAAUGGUGGUUCUAGAAAGUAUUUUAUUAGAAAGAAAUCUACGACUGGGCGCGGGAUUUCACCGGUAAAUGAGGACCAACUUCCAGAAGAAGUGAGAGCUGUGAAAUCUUUGGAGAAGAGGGGAUACUACUACAUGGAUAAAGACGGGCAGCUCUUUUACGUGAGUGGCCAGUGGGUUGG